AUCUUCCAUCCAGGAUAGUCCUGGAAAUGAUCUUGAUGCUAUCUGUUCCUCGUUACAGCAGACCUGCUCAACUUCAGCAGCUAGAAGGAGGAUUGUCUUUCACCAGCUGCAGGAGCCUGUUCCCACUACAAGCCUGGUGGAGUCUUCGGAGCAGAUGUGACUGUCCUACUUGUAUAGAGAAGAGAAACUGAGGCUCAGAAGAGAUGCCUGGCUGAGUUUAAUAGGACUGCAACAACAAUUUUGCCUUUCUACUUUCUGGUACAGUGGUCUUUCCUUUGCCAUCAUGCCUCAGCAUAUCCAUGUUAGUAAAUUCUCCCAGUUGGGGAAAAGCUUGGCAGCAAUGAAAGUUAAUGUGAUGAAUCAUUUAGAUGGACAGAUUGGAAAAAUGUUGUUCCUUUUGCAUGUGAUGUUCUUGCCAGAAAUCAAGUAGGUGGAGUUUUUGAAGCGUGAUCAGUUAGAUAAGUAUGGUGGUUUUAAAUAAUCAAGCAUGGAGCCAUACCGGUUAUGUUUAAUUUAUAACAAAAUCAGACAAUUCAGGCAUGAUGUUGAACUCAUUGAGCUUGGCUCACUACUACAUUUCUCUCACCAAAAGCAAUGACUAUAAAGAGUUACAAAUACCAUGACCUUAUAUCAUAAAGCAUAAAUUAUUCCAGGAAGUUUUCCAUUUAAGUCAACUUCUCAAAAUCUUAGGAGAAAACUACCAAUAUUCAGUUCAAACCCCAGAGGCUUAAGGAAAAAUAUUAAUGUUGAAAUAGCAAGUAAGUGGUAGUAUCCUCGCUGUAUGCACAAUUGCAUCUGCUCGGGGGUUAGUCUUUCUUUAGCUCCUGUCUACAACUCACACCAGUCUCCAU
rnacentral:lncRNA from 10 species